CCUACGGGGGGCAGCAGUGAGGAAUAUUGGUCAAUGGCCGGAAGGCUGAACCAGCCAUGCCGCGUGAAGGUCAGUGCCCUAUGGGCGUUAAACUUCUUUUGUGCGGGAGCAAUAAUGGUCACGUGUGGCCAGACGAGAGUACCGUACGAAUAAGCAUCGGCUAACUCCGUGCCAGCAGCCGCGGUAAUACGGGGGAAGCAAGCGUUAACCGGAUUUAUUGGGUUUAAAGGGUGCGUAGGCUGUGAGGUAAGUCAGCGGUGAAAUGCCCCCGCUCAACGGGGUGAAGUGCCAUUGAUACUGCCUGGCUGGAAUGCGGAUGCCGUGGGAGGAAUGUGUGGUGUAGCGGUGAAAUGCAUAGAUAUCACACAGAACACCGAUUGCGAAGGCAUCUCACGAAUCCGCGAUUGACGCUGAUGCACGAAAGCGUGGGUAUCAAACAGGAUUAGAUACCCCAGUAGUC
rnacentral:rRNA from 1 species